rnacentral:pre_miRNA from 1 species
AGGCAGUGUAAUUAGCUGAUUGUCCUCUGCUGCUUACAAUCACUAACUCCACUGCCAUC